rnacentral:rRNA from 1 species
UACGUAGGGUGCAAGCGUUAAUCGGAAUUACUGGGCGUAAAGCGUGCGCAGGCGGUUUUGUAAGACAGAGGUGAAAUCCCCGGGCUCAACCUGGGAACUGCCUUUGUGACUGCAAGGCUUGAGUGCGGCAGAGGGGGAUGGAAUUCCGCGUGUAGCAGUGAAAUGCGUAGAGAUGUGGAGGAACACCGAUGGCGAAGGCAGCCCCCUGGGCUAACACUGACGCUCAUGCACGAAAGCGUGGGGAGCAAACAGG